rnacentral:rRNA from 1 species
AUUGAACGCUGGCGGCAUGCCUUACACGUGCAAGUCGAACGGUAACAGGUUAAGCUGACGAGUGGCGAACGGGUGAGUAAUGUAUCGGAACGUGCCCAGUCGUGGGGGAUAACUGCUCGAAAGAGCAGCUAAUACCGCAUACGACCUGAGGGUGAAAGCGGGGGAUCGCAAGACCUCGCGCGAUUGGGGCGGCCGAUAUCAGAUUAGGUGGUUGGUGAGGUAAAGGCUCACCAAGCCGACAAUCUGUAGCUGGUCUGAGAGGACGACCAGCCACACUGGGACUGAGACACGGCCCAGACUCCUACGGGAGGCAGCGGUGGGGAAUUUUGGACAAUGGACGCAAGCCUGAUCCAGCCAUGCCGCGUGCGGGAAGAAGGCCUUCGGGUUGUAAACCGCUUUUGUCAGGGAAGAAAAGGUUCUGGCUAAUACCUGGGACUCAUGACGGUACCUGAAGAAUAAGCACCGGCUAACUACGUGCCAGCCGCCGCCGUAAAAC